rnacentral:lncRNA from 1 species
CUCUAAUACCAUUUGAAGGGAAAGUAUCCGAUCUGAUCGGAUCGUCGGGCAUGUUUAAAAUUUUUUCUAUUCUAUUAACUAUAAGUUUUUAUGGAUUAUAUUGGUUUGCAGUAAAAUAAAGAUCAAAAUCUCUAGGAGAACUCGAAUCUAAUACCUCGUGAGGCCUGAAAGCACAGGCCCUCUAAGCCAGGCACCGUAGGGAAGAGAGAUGAAGCCUCGAGUUGUCACACCUUCUUAAGGUAGCAAGGGAGGGAGG